CCUACGGGAGGCAGCAGUGGGGAAUAUUGGACAAUGGGGGGAACCCUGAUCCAGCGACGCCGCGUGAGUGAAGACGUAUUUCGGUAUGGAAAGCUCUAUCAGCAGGGGAGAAAGAAAUGACGGUACCUGGCUGAGAAGCUCCGGCUAACUACGUGCCAGCCGCCGCGGGAAUACGGAGGGGGCAAGCGUUAUCCGGAGUUACUGGGUGUAAAGGGAGCGUAGACGGUUACGCAAGUCUGGAGUGAAAGGCGGGGGCCCAACCCCCGGACUGCUUUGGAAACUGUAUAACUGGAGUGCAGGAGAGGUAAGUGGAAUUCCUAGUGUAGCGGUGAAAUGCGUAGAUAUUAGGAGGAACACCAGUGGCGAAGGCGGCUUACUGGACUGUAACUGACGUUGAGGCGCGAAAGCGUGGGGAGCAAACAGGAUUAGAUACCCGAGUAGUC
rnacentral:rRNA from 1 species